GGCGAAGCCUAUUAUGACUAUCUCCCUUAGUUCUUUAAUAGUUUAGUUGUUUGUCUCUAAAUUUUCAAAAGCAAAAUUAAGAACAAUUUCUCCUGAAACCAACAUACACAAAAUUGCAUGACAUACCUAUUUGUGUUGCAUUAGGUAGAAAAUUUUAAACCAAAUGAGUACUGAGAAACCUUAUUUACCAAUUAUAUGAAUACUUAAUUUGACAAAAAAACUACAUUGUUCUUCAUGAUUUUUCAGAUCAUGGUUAGAACAAGAGGUCUAGCACGUGCUUUAGGUAGUGGUACAGGUAGAGGCACGGUUCGGGAUGAGCAUGAUGUUGAUGUUCCCUGGCGUCGUAGGCCUACUGCUUCUGCCCAUAGGCAACGAGUUCAAGUUACUGUCGCUGAGGAUGUUCCUCCUCAGGUGACUGAGGAUCUUGAUGAUCUGGUGACUGAGGGUGUUGUUGAUAUGACCGAGGAUGUCCAUGAUGUGGAGGAGGACGUAGAUGCUGCGGACGUAGCUACAGAUGGUGCUGAGGAGUCACCUGUUGAUCAUGGAUAGGGAUUCCCUGGUGGGCCACGUGACCCAUCGGUCCUGACAUCGUUUGUUGACCAUGUGGCGUACAAUAUUUGGACUGGCCAAGUAACUUUAUUUUUUAUUUUUUGUUCUCUUGUUUGUGAUAAUGAAUGUUAACUUUUAUGUUGUGUUAUUCAACUCAGGAACGACCUGAGUUGAAGCUGGUCUCCCACGGUAGGAAAGUUGAUAAAAUUGGGAGUCCAGCGCCUGAGAUUGAAGGCCUUGUUGCCGGCACCGGAUUAAGUCCAUUGAUCGGAUGUUCUGUGGUCAUCGGCGAUCCUGGACUGAUAUCCGCAUUUACGGAGAGGUGGCAUAGGGAGACCAACACCUUCCACCUUCCAGUGGGAGAGUUGACUAUCACACUGGACGAUGUGGCGUGUCUCCUCCAUCUUCCUAUCACAGGGGCAUUACACAGGUUUGAGCCUCAGGUCGUGGACGAGGUCGUGUUGCUGUUGACCGAGCUUUUAGAGGUAUCUAGCCAGGAGGCUCGAGCUGAGACCGUACGUGCUCAUGGGGGCUUAUGUGCGACUAUCAUGGCUCCGUGACAUGUAUGAGAGUAGAUGCCAGGCCUGACGUUGGAUUGUAGCGACACGUGCUUACCUUCUCCACCUAGUGGGUUGUACUCUUUUUGCUAGUAAGAGUUCAACCUAUGUUCAUGUGGUGCAUCUGGGGGCUUUUCGAGACCUGGGUCAGUCUGGGGGCUAUGCAUGGGGAGUUGCCGUCCUGGUUCACAUGUAUGACCAGUUGAUUGAAGCUUCGCAGACCCCCACACGACAAAUGGGUGGAUACUUGACGCUAUUACAGUGUUGGAUAUAUGAGUAUUUUGGCAGUGUUCAUCAGUGCGUGACUGAUGAUGCGUACGCUGAGACUACCCCACGUGCCUCGAGGUGGCUUAUGAUGAAGGCACACAUGAAGGGGAUCAAGGGAGCACCGUACAGGGCACGUUUGGACGCUCUGACGAUCACAAAUGUUUCCUGGUUGCCCUACAGUGACCACCAGGCAGUUAGGGGCUUCGACCUGAUUUCAUGCUAUUAGGGGCAGCUCAGAUGAGGUCAUGUUGUGGUCAACAUCCGACCAGAGCGGGUGGUCCGACAGUUCGGGUACAUCCAGACCAUCCCUCUGCCGCUGAUAACUGCUCUAUUGUCGUAUGACGAGAUAGACGACUGGUGGAUGCAUUUUGGGGACCAUUUAGCACCGACAGGUGAGAUCUGUGUUAUCCCCGGGCAGGUAUUAGUGGACUACAUGGACUGGUUUUUCCAAAUCUCUCACCGGUUCAUCACACCGACCCAGGAACGCGAUCAGUCGAGACAGCCAGUUGCCCCAAAUGUGAUCGAGCCACAUGUGCCGGAGGUUGCAGUCGCAGAUGAUCUCCCCAGACAUUCAGUGGUUUCUUGUGAAGGAUGCGAAGCAAUCGCAGAAAGGUUGGAGCGUGUGCUCAACCUUAGGAUGGUGACUGCAGGAACUGAGUUACAUGACAUCAUGGAAGAUUGCCUGUGGCUCGCUAAGGGAGAGGCCAUUGCUGGAAGUCUUAGGACGUGACGUAGACAGCGCAUAGAUUAGCUUU